rnacentral:rRNA from 2 species
UUAAGCGACUAAGCGUACACGGUGGAUGCCCUGGCAGUCAGAGGCGAUGAAGGACGUGCUAAUCUGCGAAAAGCGUCGGUAAGGUGAUAUGAACCGUUAUAACCGGCGAUGUCCGAAUGGGGAAACCCAGUGCAAUUCGUUGCACUAUCGUUAACUGAAUACAUAGGUUAACGAGGCGAACCGGGGGAACUGAAACAUCUAAGUACCCCGAGGAAAAGAAAUCAACCGAGAUUCCCCCAGUAGCGGCGAGCGAACGGGGAGCAGCCCAGAGUCUGAAUCAGCUUGUGUGUUAGUGGAACGGUCUGGAAAGUCCGACGGUACAGGGUGAUAGUCCCGUACACCAAAAUGCACAGGCUGUGAACUCGAAGAGUAGGGCGGGACACGUGGUAUCCUGUCUGAAUAUGGGGGGACCAUCCUCCAAGGCUAAAUACUCCUGACUGACCGAUAGUGAACCAGUACCGUGAGGGAAAGGCGAAAAGAACCCCGGCGAGGGGAGUGAAAAAGAACCUGAAACCGUGUACGUACAAGCAGUGGGAGCACCUUCGGGUGUGACUGCGUACCUUUUGUAUAAUGGGUCAGCGACUUAUAUUCUGUAGCAAGGUUAACCGUAUAGGGGAGCCGCAGGGAAACCGAGUCUUAACUGGGCGUUAAGUUGCAGGGUAUAGACCCGAAACCCGGUGAUCUAGCCAUGGGCAGGUUGAAGGUUGGGUAACACUAACUGGAGGACCGAACCGACUAAUGUUGAAAAAUUAGCGGAUGACUUGUGGCUGGGGGUGAAAGGCCAAUCAAACCGGGAGAUAGCUGGUUCUCCCCGAAAGCUAUUUAGGUAGCGCCUCGUGAAUUCAUCUUCGGGGGUAGAGCACUGUUUCGGCUAGGGGGUCAUCCCGACUUACCAACCCGAUGCAAACUACGAAUACCGAAGAAUGUUAUCACGGGAGACACACGGCGGGUGCUAACGUCCGUCGUGAAGAGGGAAACAACCCAGACCGCCAGCUAAGGUCCCAAAGUCAUGGUUAAGUGGGAAACGAUGUGGGAAGGCACAGACAGCCAGGAUGUUGGCUUAGAAGCAGCCAUCAUUUAAAGAAAGCGUAAUAGCUCACUGGUCGAGUCGGCCUGCGCGGAAGAUGUAACGGGGCUAAACCAUGCACCGAAGCUGCGGCAGCGACACUAUGUGUUGUUGGGUAGGGGAGCGUUCUGUAAGCCUGCGAAGGUGACCUGUGAGGGUUGCUGGAGGUAUCAGAAGUGCGAAUGCUGACAUAAGUAACGAUAAAGCGGGUGAAAAGCCCGCUCGCCGGAAGACCAAGGGUUCCUGUCCAACGUUAAUCGGGGCAGGGUGAGUCGACCCCUAAGGCGAGGCCGAAAGGCGUAGUCGAUGGGAAACAGGUUAAUAUUCCUGUACUUGGUGUUACUGCGAAGGGGGGACGGAGAAGGCUAUGUUAGCCGGGCGACGGUUGUCCCGGUUUAAGCAUGUAGGCUGGUUGUCCAGGCAAAUCCGGAUAAUCAAGGCUGAGGUGUGAUGACGAGGCACUACGGUGCUGAAGUAACAAAUGCCCUGCUUCCAGGAAAAGCCUCUAAGCAUCAGGUAACAUUAAAUCGUACCCCAAACCGACACAGGUGGUCAGGUAGAGAAUACCAAGGCGCUUGAGAGAACUCGGGUGAAGGAACUAGGCAAAAUGGUGCCGUAACUUCGGGAGAAGGCACGCUGGUGUGUAGGUGAAGUCCCUGCGGAUGGAGCUGAGACCAGUCGAAGAUACCAGCUGGCUGCAACUGUUUAUUAAAAACACAGCACUGUGCAAACACGAAAGUGGACGUAUACGGUGUGACGCCUGCCCGGUGCCGGAAGGUUAAUUGAUGGGGUUAUCCGUAAGGAGAAGCUCUUGAUCGAAGCCCCGGUAAACGGCGGCCGUAACUAUAACGGUCCUAAGGUAGCGAAAUUCCUUGUCGGGUAAGUUCCGACCUGCACGAAUGGCGUAAUGAUGGCCAGGCUGUCUCCACCCGAGACUCAGUGAAAUUGAACUCGCUGUGAAGAUGCAGUGUACCCGCGGCAAGACGGAAAGACCCCGUGAACCUUUACUAUAGCUUGACACUGAACAUUGAGCCUUGAUGUGUAGGAUAGGUGGGAGGCUUUGAAGCGUGGACGCCAGUCUGCGUGGAGCCAACCUUGAAAUACCACCCUUUAAUGUUUGAUGUUCUAACGUUGGCCCCUGACCGGGGUUGCGGACAGUGUCUGGUGGGUAGUUUGACUGGGGCGGUCUCCUCCCAAAGCGUAACGGAGGAGCACGAAGGUUAGCUAAUCCUGGUCGGACAUCAGGAGGUUAGUGCAAUGGCAUAAGCUAGCUUGACUGCGAGCGUGACGGCGCGAGCAGGUGCGAAAGCAGGUCAUAGUGAUCCGGUGGUUCUGAAUGGAAGGGCCAUCGCUCAACGGAUAAAAGGUACUCCGGGGAUAACAGGCUGAUACCGCCCAAGAGUUCAUAUCGACGGCGGUGUUUGGCACCUCGAUGUCGGCUCAUCACAUCCUGGGGCUGAAGUAGGUCCCAAGGGUAUGGCUGUUCGCCAUUUAAAGUGGUACGCGAGCUGGGUUUAGAACGUCGUGAGACAGUUCGGUCCCUAUCUGCCGUGGGCGCUGGAGAAUUGAGGGGGGCUGCUCCUAGUACGAGAGGACCGGAGUGGACGCAUCACUGGUGUUCGGGUUGUCAUGCCAAUGGCACUGCCCGGUAGCUAAAUGCGGAAGAGAUAAGUGCUGAAAGCAUCUAAGCACGAAACUUGCCCCGAGAUGAGUUCUCCCUGAGACUUUAAGUCUCCUGAAGGAACGUUGAAGACGACGACGUUGAUAGGCCGGGUGUGUAAGCGCAGCGAUGCGUUGAGCUAACCGGUACUAAUGAACCGUGAGGCUUAACCUU